CUCACUUUGCCCAUUCAUCACAAGAGCACGUUCAAUUUAUCAACCCCUCUCGAAGUUGAGCCUGAUUAUACUCCUUUUUUUAACCCACUGCCUUCAGCAGCACUUGGCUAGGACUGGCAGAGACGGAAGGCACUUUCUCCUUGUCAGUUGAACAUGGACACUCCGCUACUUCCUAUCCCUUUUGUAGGAGAAGAACAUAAGAGAUUACAGCGAGUUUUGGCCAGCAGCUAGCUAUAGAAAAAGUUAACUGACACCUGCGACGAAGAGUGGACAUGUUUGCAUUUCUCUGUGAAAGUCAGCAUGGACAGUAAUCAUGCCUUCCUGUCCAUGUCAAGGUCAUUCCAUGAGCAAUGAUGUCCCCAGAAAGGUUUUCCUGAGGACGAUUAAUGUAACUGGUCGGUGGUUCCUGGUCCUCUAGCUGAUGCUGUCCCCCACGACAGACCUCCACCCCCCGGACAUCAAGGUGGGCCUGGAGUACACUGUCAGAUCCCUACUGGACUCGACGUCAUAGGGGUCAGCUCUAGUAUCUGGUGGACUGGGAGGGGUGUGGCUCAGAGGAGCGUUGUUGGGUUCCAGUGGAGGGCAUUCUGGACCCCAACACCUGUGAUUUCCACCAUCGCCACCCGGACCGACCCGCUCCUUGUCCUCGGGGUCGUCCCCCUGGUUGGCGUUGUCCUGCUGCUGGAGCCGCAUGUGGGGGGGUCGUACUGUCACGUCUACUCCUCCGACGUACAACAUUGCCAGAGGACUUUUCACCGGUCCUGGCACUCAUCAAUACACACAGCUUGUAAUCAUUAUGAUUCACACCUGGACUCCAUUACCUUCAUCUCCUCCCCUUUAUAUGUCACUCUCCCAUGUUCACUCGCCAGUUGGUAUUGUUCUUGUGUAUCGGCGUUCCGCCUUAUGUUAGUGUCAUGUUCUUGCUUAUGUUGUUUUUUAAAAACGUUUCACUUGCACCUGCUUCCCACUCACCGCGCCAUCAUUACACAGAGGGGUGCGGUGGGCUGCCUUUAGCAACAUCAUUGGCGCCCAGGGAUAAAUCAUUUUUAAGGGUUAAGUGCCUUGCUCAAUGGAAGAAAGGAAAAUUUUUCCUUGCCGUCUCAUGGAUUUAAAUCAGGAACCUUUCAGUUACUGGCCCAAUGCACUUAAUCACUGGGCUACCACCACCACCACCUAAGUGCACUGGGCCAAGCAAAACGAACUGGCCCACUCAGAUCUAGCAUGGUUUUUGGGGAUGAAAUAAGGUUAGCAUGGGGCUAGCUAUAGCUACCAUCGGCCAAUAACCGUUUUAGCCAGUUUGGUUAUAGACGUUCAAUGUCUACUAUGAUGGUAAAGGUUUAUCUUGAUUUUUGUGUAAUAAUAUGACAAAUGCUGAGGUGUGUUGUGUUUCAAGGCUGCUAGUGGUUAGCUUUUAAAUACCAGCAGGGGUGUAAAAGGGGCUAUGCUAAAAGCCGGUUCGCUGUAUAAGUGAUAAAAAAAACUUUUAGCUGAUACAUAAUCAAGAAACAGGACAUGGUCAGAUGACGAGUUUGCUUUAUUCAGAGUACCAUUUUUUUUUUUCUUAAACAGUACUUGGUAUGAUGUGGGUUUUUACCGUCAUAUGUGGACAGUGGCUUCACUCCUGCUGUGUAUUCAUGCAUGUGUUCUUCUCUUCAUGUCACUUUUCCAAAUGCUUUUCCGACAUGACUUCGGUCAAAUACACUCCCAUGCAUUUAACCCAGGUAUUUGAAAAUAGUAGUAUACACAGAAAAACAUAUUUUAACCCUCAUAUUGUGUUGCGGGUCAAUUUGACCCAUUUCCACUUUUCAGUUGUCUAAAACACAAGUUAACCUCUCUUUUUCUCCAUGACAUUAAAUGACUUUUCCUCAUUCAAAAUUUGGACACACUGAUGUGUUUUGGAUUGUCUGUGAAUAGUUUGUAUACAAACAUGUCAUUGUGGGUCAUUUUGACGCCACGGCUUUCAUGUGUAUAGAUAUUUGCACAGGUCCAAAAUAUACACGUGUCUUUGAUGUAUUUUGUUUUGACUGGUUCUGAUUGCACGUUCAUAAUUAUAUUUGGGUGAUAAAGAUCUUUCCCAAGCUUCUCCUUCUCAGUGCUAGAGCAGCAGAUCUCUCCAAAAUGAAUUCCAAACAGUAAACAUUUAUUUGGGAGAAAGGAUAUAUGUUUAACAAAUAGUUAUUAAAUAUAGAGUUUUUGAAAUC
ensembl:lncRNA